AGUUUUCCGUAGGUGACCUGCGGAGGAUCAUUGUCGAACCUGCCCAGCAGAGAGACCCGCGAAC
rnacentral:rRNA from 1 species